rnacentral:lncRNA from 1 species
CAGGGAAGCUGCACUUGCCAGUACGGACGCCUUCUUCAUCAGUCUGCCACUGAUGAGGCCUACUGGCCUCUGGCACAUAGACAUCUUUCUUUCUCCUAAAGCUCUGCCGUAAUUUAUUCAUUUCUCAGAUGUUGAUAACGUUUUUUCCCUCAGGUCCACCAGCAGUACUUCUCUUACAACUCCUCUUGCAAAAUCCUUCUCUUGGAGCUAUAACCUUGACUCCAUGGAUACAGGAAAAGAUGUGAACCUAUGGGCUGUACCAAGUUAUCAGUGGCCUCUCUCCUAUGCGGGCAUCACUUAUGCAUUUGGAAGAAACGCCAAGGGAAGAGCUCCUGCAUGCACAAUCUUCACUUCGGGUGGACCCUGGUGAGGGUGAGGCAGGCAGGACCACUUCCAGAAGGAGCCAGCUCACAGCCCCACGGGCAGCACGCACCGGAUCCGUGUCACUUCCUUUUAGCAACAACACAGCCCCUCC